rnacentral:sRNA from 1 species
GCCGGGUGCAGUGGCACACACCUGUAAUCCCAGCAGCUUGGGAGGCUGAGGCAGGAGGAUUAUGAAUUCCAAGCCAGCCUCAG